UGGGGAAUAUUGCACAAUGGAGGGAACUCUGAUGCAGCGACGCCGCGUGAGUGAUGAAGGACUUCGUUUCGUAAAACUCUGUUCUAUGGGAAGAAAAGGACUGUACCAUAGGAGAAAGCUCCGGCUAAAUACGUGCCAGCAGCCGCGGUAAUACGUAUGGAGCGAGCGUUGUCCGGAAUUAUUGGGCGUAAAGGGUGCGCAGGCGGCUUUACAAGUUGGAUGUGAAAUAUUGUGGCUCAACCACAAACGUGCAUCCAAAACUGCAAAGCUUGAGUUAAGGAGAGGUAAGUGGAAUUCCUGGUGUAGCGGUGGAAUGCGUAGAUAUCAGGAGGAAUACCGGUGGCGAAGGCGACUUACUGGACUUAAACUGACGCUCAGGCACGAAAGCGUGUGGAGCAAACAGG
rnacentral:rRNA from 1 species